rnacentral:lncRNA from 1 species
GCCGUAACUAGCCUCUUUUAAUAGUGAGGCAAAAUAUAAUAAUAUAAAAAUUUUGGGCGAGGGGUCUGGGGCCGCUUAAGGCCCCCAAAAGCUCUGAGAAAAAUAACGCAAAAUCGUGCAUUCUGAGCGUUUCCCAGACUCUUUCUUGCAUUGAAACGGCUUAAUUAAUUUUUAGAUAUUUUUUUCGACAACCAGGUCCCAAAGC